CUCUUGGCCUUUAUCAUGGAGCAGUGUGGCCAGCAGGACCAGGUUAAUGAUUGUCUCCCUGUACUUGCCAGUGGUGAGGCUGCACCUCAAGUCCUGUGUCCAGUUCUGGGCCCCUCACUGCAGGAAGGACAUUG